rnacentral:rRNA from 1 species
CCUACGGGAGGCAGCAGUGAGGAAUAUUGGUCAAUGGACGAGAGUCUGAACCAGCCAAGUAGCGUGAAGGAUGACUGCCCUAUGGGUUGUAAACUUCUUUUAUAUGGGAAUAAAAUGUUCCACGUGUGGGAUUUUGUAUGUACCAUAUGAAUAAGGAUCGGCUAAAUCCGUGCCAGCAGCCGCGGUAAUAUGGAGGAUCCGAUCGUUAUCCGGAUUUAUUGGGUUGAAAGGGAGCGGAGGUGGAUUGUUAAGUCAGUUGUGAAAGUUUGCGGCUCAACCGUAAAAUUGCAGUUGAAACUGGCAGUCUUGAGUACAGUAGAGGUGGGCGGAAUUCGUGGUGUAGCGGUGAAAUGCUUAGAUAUCACGAAGAACUCCGAUUGCGAAGGCAGUUCACUGGACUGCAACUGACACUGAGGCUCGAAAGUGUGGGUAUCAAACAGGAUUAGUUACCCCGGUAGUC